GUAGGAUGCGAGCGUUAUCCGGAUUUAUUGGGUUUAAAGGGUGCGUAGGCGGUUCGUUAAGUCAGCGGUAAAAUUGCGGGGCUCAACCCCGGCCUGCCGUUGAAACUGGCGGCCUCGAGUGGGCGAGAAGUAUGCGGAAUGCGUGGUGUAGCGGUGAAAUGCAUAGAUAUCACGCAGAACUCCGAUUGCGAAGGCAGCAUACCGGCGCCCUACUGACGCUGAGGCACGAAAGCGUGGGUAUCGAA
rnacentral:rRNA from 1 species